UUGGAGGGCAAGUCUGGUGCCAGCAGCCGCGGUAAUUCCAGCUCCAAUAGCGUAUAUUAAAGUUGUUGCAGUUAAAAAGCUCGUAGUUGAACCUUGGGUCUGGCUGGCCGGUCCGCCUCACCGCGAGUACUGGUCCGGCUGGACCUUUCCUUCUGGGGAACCUCAUGGCCUUCACUGGCUGUGGGGGGAACCAGGACUUUUACUGUGAAAAAAUUAGAGUGUUCAAAGCAGGCCUUUGCUCGAAUACAUUAGCAUGGAAUAAUAGAAUAGGA
rnacentral:rRNA from 1 species